rnacentral:lncRNA from 1 species
AUGAGACGGAAACAUGGAAGGUGCCUAAAGAAGCCAGGGUGGCUAUCUAAAGAACUUUUAACUCAGUUAAGAUUAAAAAAGGAUGUGUACAAAAAUGGAAAAGGGGAAACCACCAAAGAGGAAUUCAAACAAAUAGCCAGCACAUGUAGACACAAAGUCAGAAAAGCUAAAGCACAGAAUGAACUCAGGCUUGCUAGAGAGGUUAAAAGCAACAAAAAAGGCUUUUAUGGGUAUGUCCGUAGCAAAAGGAAGAACAAAGAAACAGUGGGGUCACUCAGAGGAGAAGAUGGUGAAAUGCAAACAGGGGACACAGAAAGGGCUGAACUCAAUGCCUUCUUUGCCUCAGUCUUCUCCAAUAAAGAAAACAAUGCCCGACCUGAAGAAUUUGGAGCAAAUGAUUCAGCAGAGGAAACACAGCCCAGAAUAACUAAGGAGAUAGUACAAGAAUACUUGGCUAGUUUAGAUGUAUUCAAGUCUCCAGGGCCAGACGAACUGCAUCCAAGAGUAUUAAAAGAACUGGCAGAUGUGAUCUCAGAACCACUGGCAGUCAUCUUUGAGAAUUCCUGGAGAACAGGCGAAGUCCCGGCAGACUGGAGGAGGGCAAAUGUUGUCCCUAUUUUCAAAAAGGGGAAAAGAGAGGACCCAAAUAAUUAUCGCCCAGUCAGUCUGACAUUUGCCAAUGCAAUUCUGGGCUGCAUCAAUAGGAGUAUAGCAUCUAGAUCAAGGGAAGUAAUAGUGCCACUGUAUUCUGCUCUGGUCAGACCUCACCUGGAGUACUGUGUCCAGUUCUGGGCACCACAGUUCAAGAAGGACACUGACAAACUGGAACGUGUCCAGAGGAGGGCAACCAAAAUGGUCAAAGGCCUGGAAACGAUGCCUUAUGAGGAACGGCUAAGGGAGCUGGGCAUGUUUAGCCUGGAGAAGAGGAGGUUAAGGGGUGAUAUGAUAGCCAUGUUCAAAUAUAUAAAAGGAUGUCACAUAGAGGAGGGAGAAAGGUUGUUUUCUGCUGCUCCAGAGAAGCGGACAAGGAGCAAUGGAUCCAAACUACAAGAAAGAAGAUUCCACCUAAACAUUAGGAAGAACUUCCUGACAGCAAGAGCUGUUCGACAGUGGAAUUUGCUGCCAAGGAGUGUGGUGGAGUCUCCGUCUUUGGAGGUCUUUAAGCAGAGGCUUGACAACCAUAUGUCAGGAGUGCUCUGA